rnacentral:rRNA from 1 species
UGGGGAAUAUUGGACAAUGGGCGAAAGCCUGAUCCAGCAAUACCGCGUGAGUGAUGAAGGCCUUAGGGUUGUAAAGCUCUUUCAGUUGGAAAGAUAAUGACGGUACCAACAGAAGAAGCCCCGGCUAACUACGUGCCAGCAGCCGCGGUAAGACGUAGGGGGCUAGCGUUGUUCGGAAUUACUGGGCGUAAAGAGCGCGUAGGCGGUCUGUUAAGUUGGAAGUGAAAGCCCGGGGCUUAACCCCGGAAUUGCUUUCAAAACUGGCAAGCUAGAGUGCGAGAGGGGGUGAUGGAAUUCCUAGUGUAGAGGUGAAAUUCUUAGAUAUUAGGAGGAACACCGGUGGCGAAGGCGAUCACCUGGCUCGAUACUGACGCUGAGGCGCGAAAGCGUGGGGAGCAAACAGG